rnacentral:rRNA from 1 species
GAUCAUGGCUCAGGAUGAACGCUGGCGGCGUGCCUAACACAUGCAAGUCGAGCGAAGCACUUUGCUUAGAUUCUUCGGAUGAAGAGGAUUGUGACUGAGCGGGCGGACGGGUGAGUAACGCGUGGGUAACCUGCCUCAUACAGGGGGAUAACAGUUAGAAAUGACUGCUAAUACCGCAUAAGACCACAGCACCGCAUGGUGCGGGGGUAAAAACUCCGGUGGUAUGAGAUGGACCCCG